rnacentral:rRNA from 2 species
UGCAGUCGAACGAGUUCUGAUUAUUGAAAGGUGCUUGCAUCUUGAUUUAAUUUUGAACGAGUGGCGGACGGGUGAGUAACACGUGGGUAACCUGCCCUUAAGUGGGGGAUAACAUUUGGAAACAGAUGCUAAUACCGCAUAAAUCCAAGAACCGCAUGGUUCUUGGCUGAAAGAUGGCGUAAGCUAUCGCUUUUGGAUGGACCCGCGGCGUAUUAGCUAGUUGGUGAGGUAACGGCUCACCAAGGCAAUGAUACGUAGCCGAACUGAGAGGUUGAUCGGCCACAUUGGGACUGAGACACGGCCCAAACUCCUACGGGAGGCAGCAGUAGGGAAUCUUCCACAAUGGACGCAAGUCUGAUGGAGCAACGCCGCGUGAGUGAAGAAGGCUUUCGGGUCGUAAAACUCUGUUGUUGGAGAAGAAUGGUCGGCAGAGUAACUGUUGUCGGCGUGACGGUAUCCAACCAGAAAGCCACGGCUAACUACGUGCCAGCAGCCGCGGUAAUACGUAGGUGGCAAGCGUUAUCCGGAUUUAUUGGGCGUAAAGCGAGCGCAGGCGGUUUUUUAAGUCUGAUGUGAAAGCCCUCGGCUUAACCGAGGAAGUGCAUCGGAAACUGGGAAACUUGAGUGCAGAAGAGGACAGUGGAACUCCAUGUGUAGCGGUGAAAUGCGUAGAUAUAUGGAAGAACACCAGUGGCGAAGGCGGCUGUCUGGUCUGUAACUGACGCUGAGGCUCGAAAGCAUGGGUAGCGAACAGGAUUAGAUACCCUGGUAGUCCAUGCCGUAAACGAUGAAUGCUAGGUGUUGGAGGGUUUCCGCCCUUCAGUGCCGCAGCUAACGCAUUAAGCAUUCCGCCUGGGGAGUACGACCGCAAGGUUGAAACUCAAAGGAAUUGACGGGGGCCCGCACAAGCGGUGGAGCAUGUGGUUUAAUUCGAAGCAACGCGAAGAACCUUACCAGGUCUUGACAUCUUUUGAUCACCUGAGAGAUCAGGUUUCCCCUUCGGGGGCAAAAUGACAGGUGGUGCAUGGUUGUCGUCAGCUCGUGUCGUGAGAUGUUGGGUUAAGUCCCGCAACGAGCGCAACCCUUAUGACUAGUUGCCAGCAUUUAGUUGGGCACUCUAGUAAGACUGCCGGUGACAAACCGGAGGAAGGUGGGGAUGACGUCAAAUCAUCAUGCCCCUUAUGACCUGGGCUACACACGUGCUACAAUGGAUGGUACAACGAGUUGCGAGACCGCGAGGUCAAGCUAAUCUCUUAAAGCCAUUCUCAGUUCGGACUGUAGGCUGCAACUCGCCUACACGAAGUCGGAAUCGCUAGUAAUCGCGGAUCAGCACGCCGCGGUGAAUACGUUCCCGGGCCUUGUACACACCGCCCGUCACACCAUGA